rnacentral:rRNA from 1 species
UACAGAGGUCCCAAGCGUUACUGAGAAUCACUGGGUUUAAAGGGUGCGUAGGUGGUCCGUUAAGUCAGUUGUGAAAUCCCCGGGCUCAACCCGGGAACUGCUUCUGAUACUGGCGGACUUGAGGCCAGUAGGGGUCACUAGAACUGACGGUGGAGCGGUGAAAUGCGUAGAUAUCGUCAGGAAUGCCGGUGGUGAAGACGGGUGACUGGGCUGGUUCUGACACUGAGGAGCGAAAGCGUGGGGAGCGAUCCGG